CCAUGCUUCCUUACUUCCCAUAUGUAUUUCCACCCGUAUGGAAUGUAAAGAAGUACGGCG
rnacentral:pre_miRNA from 1 species